UACGUAGGGGGCGAGCGUUGUCCGGAGUUACUGGGCGUAAAGCGCACGCAGGCGGUCUGCUAAGUUUGGAGUGACAGUGCUCGGCUUAACUGAGCAAGUGCUUCGAAAACUGACAGACUUGAGGGCUUCAGAGGGACAUGGAAUUCCGGGUGUAGUGGUGAAAUGCGUAGAUAUCCGGAGGAACACCAAAGGCGAAGGCAGUGUCCUGGGAAGUACCUGACGCUCAGGUGCGAAAGCUAGGGGAGCGAACGGG
rnacentral:rRNA from 1 species